rnacentral:tRNA from 1 species
UAGCUCAAUCAGUUGAGCGUGGCGCUAACAACGCCAAGGUCAUGGGUUCGAUUCCCGU